UACGGAGGGCGCGAGCGUUAAUCGGAAUUACUGGGCGUAAAGCGCGCGUAGGCUGUUGUGUAAGUUGGGGGUGAAAUCCCACGGCUCAACCGUGGAACAGCCCUUGAUACUGCGCGACUUGAAUCCGGGAGAGGGUGGCGGAAUUCCAGGUGCAGGAGUGAAAUCCGUAGAUAUCUGGAGGAACAUCAGUGGCGAAGGCGGCCACCUGGACCGGUAUUGACGCUGAGGCGCGAAAGCGUGGGGAGCAAACAGG
rnacentral:rRNA from 1 species